AACGAACGCUGGCGGCAGGCUUAACACAUGCAAGUCGAGCGCCCCGCAAGGGGAGCGGCAGACGGGUGAGUAACGCGUGGGAACAUACCCUUUGGUUCGGAAUAACUCAGGGAAACUUGAGCUAAUACCGGAUACGUCCGUAAGGAGAAAGAUUUAUCGCCAAAGGAUUGGCCCGCGUCCGAUUAGCUAGUUGGUGAGGUAACGGCUCACCAAGGCUACGAUCGGUAGCUGGUCUGAGAGGAUGAUCAGCCACAUUGGGACUGAGACACGGCCCAAACUCCUACGGGAGGCAGCAGUGGGGAAUAUUGGACAAUGGGCGCAAGCCUGAUCCAGCCAUGCCGCGUGAGUGAUGAAGGCCUUAGGGUUGCAAAGCUCUUUUGUCCGGGAAGAUAAUGACUGUACCGGAAGAAUAAGCCCCGGCUAACUUCGUGCCAGCAGCCGCGGUAAU
rnacentral:rRNA from 1 species